AACCUAGCACACCUGCGGUGUGUACCUGCGGAGGGAUCAUUACACAACAAAAUAUGAAGGUCUGGCUUCGCGGCCGGCUGAAGUAUUUUUUUUCACCCAUGUCUUUUGCGCACUUGUUGUUUCCUGGGCGGGUUCGCCCGCCACCAGGACCAAACCAUAAACCUUUUUUUUAUGUAGUUGCAAUCAGCGUCAGUAAAAACAAUGUAAUUAUUACAACUUUCAGCAAUGGAUCUCAGAUCG
rnacentral:misc_RNA from 1 species